rnacentral:rRNA from 1 species
GACGACCGCGGGGGCGUGCUUAACCAUGCAAGUCGAACGAAGAGCGAUGAAGCUUGCUUCUAUCAAUUUAAGUGGCGAACGGGUGAGUAACGCGUAAUCAACCUGCCCUUCAGAGGGGGACAACAGUUGGAAACGACUGCUAAUACCGCAUACGAUCUAACCUCGGCAUCGAGGAAAGAUGAAAGGUGGCCUCUAUUUAUAAGCUAUCACUGAAGGAGGGGAUUGCGUCUGAUUAGCUAGUUGGAGGGGUAACGGCCCACCAAGGCGAUGAUCAGUAGCCGGUCUGAGAGGAUGAACGGCCACAUUGGGACUGAGACACGGCCCAGACUCCUACGGGAGGCAGCAGUGGGGAAUCUUCCGCAAUGGACGAAAGUCUGACGGAGCAACGCCGCGUGAGUGAUGACGGCCUUCGGGUUGUAAAGCUCUGUUAAUCGGGACGAAAGGCCUUCUUGCGAACAGUUAGAAGGAUUGACGGACCGAAUA